GGGCCCAUGGUCCAGUGGCUAUGACGUCACCCUUACACGGUGAAGAUCCAGGGUUCAAAUCCCUGUGGGCCCA
rnacentral:tRNA from 3 species